UUCAAAUACCCAUAUUAACCCCUUCAACUAUACUGAGAACUUCUAUAACCCUAUAGAACCUUUUAUGCUAAAACUAGUAACAAGAGAAAACCCUCUCUCAUAAUGCAAACAUAAGCCAGCAAGAACCCAUCACUGGCAAUUAACAACCCUAAACUAAAGUAGCAACCUCACUAGAAACCCCUACUCCCACUGACUGUUAACCUAACACCAGAGCAUUUCAAGAAAGAUUAAAAGAAAAAGAAGGAACUCGGCAAAUCCAAAGUCCCGCCUGUUUACCAAAAACAUCGCCUCUUGCUCACCAUAAGAGGUCCAACCUGCCCAGUGACCCUGUUCAACGGCCGCGGUAUCCUAACCGUGCGAAGGUAGCGUAAUCACUUGUUUUUUAAAUAAAGACCUGUAUGAAGGGUAUAACGAGGACUAAACUGUCUCCUUUUUCCAAUCAGUGAACCUAAUCUCCCCGUGAAAAAGCGGGAAUUCCUAUAUAAGACGAGAAGACCCUGUGGAGCUUAAAACAUCAUAACACCUGCCCCACCUUUAACCAUCCCAGUAUAUCCAACCGGCACCCUGAUUAUAUGUUUUUGGUUGGGGUGACCGCGGAGAAAACCCCAUCCUCCGCGAUGAAAGGGGCCCCCCCCCCUUAA
rnacentral:rRNA from 1 species